GUGAGGAAUAUUGGUCAAUGGGCGAGAGCCUGAACCAGCCAAGUCGCGUGAAGGAUGAAGGUUUUAUGAAUUGUAAACUUCUUUUGCAGGGGAAUAAAGUACGGUACGUGUACCGUUUUGUAUGUACUCUGCGAAUAAGGAUCGGCUAACUCCGUGCCAGCAGCCGCGGUAAUACGGAGGAUCCAAGCGUUAUCCGGAUUUAUUGGGUUUAAAGGGUGCGCAGGCGGGUUGAUAAGUCAGCGGUGAAAGUUUGCAGCUUAACUGUAAAAAUGCCGUUGAAACUGUCGGACUUGAGUGUAAAUGAGGUAGGCGGAAUGCGUGGUGUAGCGGUGAAAUGCAUAGAUAUCACGCAGAACUCCGAUUGCGAAGGCAGCUUACUAAGCUACAACUGACACUGAAGCACGAAAGCGUGGGGAUCAAACAGGAUUAGAUACCUCGGUAGUCC
rnacentral:rRNA from 1 species